rnacentral:rRNA from 1 species
UACGGAGGGGGCUAGCGUUGUUCGGAAUUACUGGGCGUAAAGCGCGCGUAGGCGGGUUGGUAAGUCCGCUGUGAAAGCCCGGAGCUCAACUCCGGAGGGUCGGUGGAUACUGCCAGUCUUGAAGGUGCUAGGGGGAGAUGGAAUUACCGGUGUAGCGGUGAAAUGCGUAGAUAUCGGUAGGAACACCAGUGGCGAAGGCGGUCUCCUGGGGCAUUCUUGACGCUGAGGCGCGAAAGCUGGGGGAGCAAACGGG